AACGCACCUUGCGCCCUCUGGUAUUCCGGAGGGCAUGCCUGUUUGAGUGUCGCGAACACCUCAACCCUCCAAUGUUUUUUUCGCAUUGAAGGCGUUGGUAGUGAGCGCUGCCGGACCUCGGAUCGGCUCGCUUUAAAAUCAUUAGCUGGAUCCAUUCUGACCUGGUUCUACUCGGCGUAAUAAGUUAUUAUCGUCGAGGACGCCGGCCUUGCAGGCAGGCGGCCACAGUAAGGAUGUUUGAACCGCUUCCAACACGUCUUGCUCUUGUAGCAAACGCUUGAACCUCUGACCUCAAAUCAGGCAGGACUACCCGCUGAACUUAA
rnacentral:misc_RNA from 1 species